rnacentral:lncRNA from 10 species
GCCCAGCCCCCAGCCCCGCAGUAUGCCCUUCUGGACCCCCUUGGGCCGCCGGGGCUGCCCGGAAGGGAUCCACGCACCAAAGGGCAAAUACUCGGUAGCGACUCAGAGGGAAAGUGGGGUCUCUCCUGGGAGAGCAGGAGGCUGCCAGAAAAGAACUCAGGUCAGGGGUGCAUAGGCGGCUGAGGAGUGCGGGACGGGCUGAGAGUUGG